AACGUCUCUGCCACCAGUCGUAUGGAAGGGGAGAAUUGGAGGUACCUGGUCAGGUCUUGGUCAGCCUUCAAAUCCCAGAUGUGGAGACUGCAGGGAUACCUCACAGAGAAGACACUAAAGAGUCAUCUCUCAUUCAUCGAGUGGACUCAUUGGUUUGCGAAUGACCACAAAGAUGCUCCCAUAGGCAGAUUGCUGCAUGGUAUUCAACACUUAUUCAAAUUGUAGAGGUUGAAGCAGUCUUCCUUGUGGUCACUUGCCAUAACACUGUCAUGUGAUUUAUCAAAACACCAUCAGUAACAUUUUAAUUGAGUUGAUGUGGACGGCUCUUUUUUUUUGUCUGAUUUUUUUUCAGUGUUCAGUGCCUGUUUGUGAGAUAUGCAUUGUUUGAAAGAUAAGCCUUUGAUUUUGUUUAAUUUUAAUAUGCCUUUCAUCAUCAGUGGUUUGGGGUUUUAUAACAACAAUUAAAGUGCUUAACUACUGGUGAACGAUGUUGCAGAACAUAUAUGGUCUGUGUUCAUUGCAUGGAAAAGGGAAUAACCCGUUACAACUUAUAUGGUAAGAACCUGGUAAUACCAUGGAAACAAACAAGGCUUCCUUUUACAGUACAGUUUCAGCUUAAUUACUGGGUAAAUCGUCGUGUUUUACAUGGGAACGUCGCAGAACGUACAUGGGACAAGUU
ensembl:lncRNA